AUCCUACACUGUAAUGGGCCGGGCACACACCGUUCCUCUGGCGACUUCCAUAGAUCUUGGUCAUGGAGCCAACACCAGCACCUCCACGAAGGUACAGGUGGCGGACUGUGGAUGCUGUAGGGGUAGAAGAGAUGAGGGUCGUGUAGGGAGAGAGUG